rnacentral:rRNA from 1 species
CGUAACAAGGUCUCCGUUGGUGAACCAGCGGAGGGAUCAUUACCGAGUUUACAACUCCCAAACCCCUGUGAACAUACCUAUACGUUGCCUCGGCGGAUCAGCCCGCGCCCCGUAAAACGGGACGGCCCGCCCGAGGACCCCUAAACUCUGUUUUUAGUGGAACUUCUGAGUAAAACAAACAAAUAAAUCAAAACUUUCAACAACGGAUCUCUUGGUUCUGGCAUCGAUGAAGAACGCAGCAAAAUGCGAUAAGUAAUGUGAAUUGCAGAAUUCAGUGAAUCAUCGAAUCUUUGAACGCACAUUGCGCCCGCCAGUAUUCUGGCGGGCAUGCCUGUUCGAGCGUCAUUUCAACCCUCAAGCUCAGCUUGGUGUUGGGACUCGCGGUAACCCGCGUUCCCCAAAUCGAUUGGCGGUCACGUCGAGCUUCCAUAGCGUAGUAAUCAUACACCUCGUUACUGGUAAUCGUCGCGGCCACGCCGUUAAACCCCAACUUCUGAAUGUUGACCUCGGAUCAGGUAGGAAUACCCGCUGAACUUAAGCAUAUCA